CCGGGGUAAUUUGUUUUGACAUGGCCUAAUACCUCUCUUAAACUUGGCCAGGUUUGGGUUCAGCAGCCCCAUUCAAGCCAGGCACGGACAGAGUGGCCCUGUCUGCGUUCUUCUGUGAGAGGAUUGUUUCUGGCAUGUCUCAAAGAGCUUGAGACAUAGAUCAAGACCAGUCUGACAUCCCUCUGGCCUGUCUAUCCCCUGUCAGUUUUCUUGCAACUGUUACUGUGUUUACGUGGGCAUUUGGGGGAAGGGAAUUAAGCAAGUCCUGCUUGCCUUUUUCCCACAAGCCUGUGCUAACUGAAUGCUAAUUUUUCGAUAAACCCUACUGGGUCUAGGGGAAAUCUUUAUGAAAUGACUGUCUGACAAGAUGAUCUUAUAAGGUCUCCUAAUGUGCGUAGGAAGAGCAUUGGGUUUAGCAGUCAUUGUCUGCACUGUCAAACUUUGAAGUAGGGAAGGUAAACUUGAGACACCCUUCAAAAUGAGUCACACUAAUUGAAUAACAGUGGCUUAACACUCUUUUUGUCUCUCUCCCUUUCUCUUUUAUUAAUGGCAGACAGAUCAUAUCUGAAAGAAGCACACUCAUCCAGGUUUAACCGUGGCCCGUCAUUCUGCUGAAGGUGACAAACCACAUAGGAAUCCUGAUGCCUUUCCAGUGUGAACCUGUAGUUUUUAAUUCCUAAAGAAAUCAGGACACGAUGACUGGAUUUUAUCUCAGAUGAUCUGUAUUGAAACAUCACCAAGCGUGUUAACUGCCAUGCUGUGGACCCGACAGCUGAUCCUAUCAAAUUACUAUGGGAUGCUGAGUCAGUUUCUGAGUGUAGUUAGAGCUCAGUGCCUGGCUGGUGGUGCGAGAUUGCUAUCGCAGGUGAUUCAUCAGUGA
ensembl:lncRNA